GCGGAUGUAGUUCAAUGGUAGAACAUCGGCUUCCCAAGCCGACAACGCGGGUUCGAUUCCCGUCAUCCGCU
rnacentral:tRNA from 1 species